rnacentral:rRNA from 1 species
GACGAACGCUGGCGGCGUGCUUAACACAUGCAAGUCGAACGGAAAGGCCUGUCCUUCCUUGUGUUGGACGGGUACUCGAGUGGCGAACGGGUGAGUAACACGUGAGUGAUCUGCCCCCAACUUGGGUAUAAGCCUGGGAAACUGGGUCUAAUUCCCGAUAGGACUGCAGGGUGGUGCCUGUGGUGGAAAACGAUUUUCUAGUGGUUGGGGAUGAGCUCGCGGUCUAUCAGCUUGUUGGUGGGGUAAUGGCCUACCAAGGCGGCGACGGGUAGCCGGCCUGGGAGGGUGGACGGCCACAUUGGGACUGAGAUACGGCCCAGACUCCUACGGGAGGCAGCAGUGGGGAGUAUUGCACAAUGGGCGGAAGCCUGAUGCAGCGACGCCGCGUGGGGGAUGACGGCCUUCGGGUUGUAAACUCCUUUCGACCGCGAGGAAGCCGCCUGGUUGGAAGGGUGGUGACGUUAGUGGUAGAAGAAGCACCGGCUAACUACGUG